UACAGAGACCUCAAGCGUUAUCCGGAAUCAUUGGGCGUAAAGCGUACCGAUAGGUGGUUUUGUUAGUCUUGGGUAAAAGCCAGAAGCUCAACUUCUGCGUUUGCUUAAGAUACUGCGAAACUAGAGGGGCAAAGAGGUGCUUGGAACGAAUGGUGUAGUAGUGAAAUGCGUUGAUAUCAUUCGGAACACCGAAAGCGAAGGCAGAGCACUGGGUGCCACCUGACACUGCUAGGACGAAAGCGUGGGUAGCGAAUGGG
rnacentral:rRNA from 1 species